AGCCACAGUUAACGCAGAUGAACGUCAAACAAAAUCCAUCCUCUGCAGUAAUGACACAGGGUGCUGGGUUGCUGAGGGAGUGGGCAUGGACCGGAGGGCCAGAGAUGGGAUGCUGAGCCGCAGCUGACUGAAGCUGUGCCAGGCGAGGGUCAUGCCAAGUGGUUGUCUUAUCCAGGAAGCUGUCAAGCAAAAGUGCAGCAAAUGUGACUGUAAAUUAAUCACUUGAACAAUCAGUGUGAUCAAAUUCUUAUAAGAUGCCACCUUGAGAUUUGGAAAAUUGUGAAAACCACUUGUUGCAACACAGGAUGAGUGCCAGUGCACAACAGAGAGGAUUGGAACAAGAUGAACGGGGCUCCUCCUACACAACCUUUCUAAUAACCUGCAGAGCAGAAGAGAUGCAACACAGAUAAACUGGAGGUUAACCUUACUUGAGGAAGUAACGCUGGCCAGUCGGUGUUUUGGCCAUUUCCCAACCUCGGGGGAGUGGCAUGUCAUCGGGUAUGAUUGGUGU